rnacentral:rRNA from 1 species
GGAUCCAGAUUUUGAUCAUGGCUCAGGAUGAACGCUAGCUACAGGCUUAACACAUGCAAGUCGAGGGGCAGCAUGAACUUAGCUUGCUAAGUUUGAUGGCGACCGGCGCACGGGUGAGUAACACGUAUCCAACCUUCCGUUUACUCAGGGAUAGCCUUUCGAAAGAAAGAUUAAUACCUGAUAGUAUGGUGAGAUUGCAUGAUAGCACCAUUAAAGAUUUAUUGGUAAACGAUGGGGAUGCGUUCCAUUAGGUAGUAGGCGGGGUAACGGCCCACCUAGCCGACGAUGGAUAGGGGUUCUGAGAGGAAAGUCCCCCACAUUGGAACUGAGACACGGUCCAAACUCCUACGGGAGGCAGCAGUGAGGAAUAUUGGUCAAUGGGCGAGAGCCUGAACCAGCCAAGUAGCGUGAAGGAUGAAGGUCCUACGGAUUGUAAACUUCUUUUAUACGGGAAUAAAGUAUCCUACGUGUAGGAUUUUGUAUGUACCGUAUGAAUAAGCAUCGGCUAACUCCGUGCCAGCAGCCGCGGUAAUACGGAGGAUGCGAGCGUUAUCCGGAUUUAUUGGGUUUAAAGGGAGCGCAGACGGGAGAUUAAGUCAGUUGUGAAAGUUUGCGGCUCAACCGUAAAAUUGCAGUUGAUACUGGUUUCCUUGAGUGCAGUUGAGGCAGGCGGAAUUCGUGGUGUAGCGGUGAAAUGCUUAGAUAUCACGAAGAACCCCGAUUGCGAAGGCAGCUUGCUAAACUGUAACUGACGUUCAUGCUCGAAAGUGUGGGUAUCAAACAGGAUUAGAUACCCUGGUAGUCCACACGGUAAACGAUGGAUACUCGCUGUUGGCGAUAUACUGUCAGCGGCCAAGCGAAAGCAUUAAGUAUCCCACCUGGGGAGUACGCCGGCAACGGUGCAACUCAAAUGAAUUGACGG